GGCCUUGUCGGGUGGUCCACCAUCUGGUGAGUACCGCCAUUACGUCGGGUCCCUUCUUCUGGUGAGCUAGUGUGUCUUCACUGGGUGCAUUAGAACUAUUACCUUGAAAAAUUGGUGUGUUUAAAACGGACAAUUGCUUGAAUACAUUAGCGUGCGUGGAAUAAUGAAAUAGGACAAACGGUUCUAUUUUGGGUUUUGGGACCACCGCA
rnacentral:rRNA from 1 species